rnacentral:rRNA from 1 species
GACAGGCGCAGAGAUGUGCUCUCCUUCGGGCAAUGGAUACAGGUGGUGCAUGGUUGUCGUCAGCUCGUGCCGUGAGGUGUUGGGUUAAGUCCCGCAACGAGCGCAACCCUCAUUGUUAGUUACUACCAUUCAGUUGAGGACUCUAAUGAGACUGCCAACGAUAAGUUGGAGGAAGGUGGGGAUGACGUCAAAUCAUCAUGCCCUUUAUGACCUGGGCUACAAACGUACUACAAUGGCCAAUACAAAGAGAUGCGAAGCGGUGACGUGGAGCGAACCUCAGAAAGUUGGUCUCAGUUCAGAUUGAAGUCUGCAACUCGACUUCAUGAAGGCGGAAUCGCUAGUAAUCGCGGGUCAGCAGACCGCGGUGAAUACGUUCCCGGGUUUU